UGGGGUGUGGCGAAGCGGUAACGCAGCGGACUUUGGAUCCGCCAUUCGGAGGUUCGAAUCCUCCCACCCCAACUA
rnacentral:tRNA from 1 species